rnacentral:misc_RNA from 1 species
UCUCCGUUGGUGAACCAGCGGAGGGAUCAUUACAGAGUUGUAAAACUCCCAAACCCACUGUGAACAUACCUCUGUUGCCUCGGCGCAGGCUGGGAGCUUCUGUAAACUCCCCCACGCGGACUCGCCUCCGCGCGGAGCAGGCCCGCCGGCGGCCCCUACCAAACCUCUUGUUUUUACAGUGUCUCCUCUGAGUUACAAACACAAAUGAAUCAAAACUUUCAACAACGGAUCUCUUGGUUCUGGCAUCGAUGAAGAACGCAGC